CAGUCGCCGCGGUAAUACGAAGGGUGCAAGCGUUACUCGGAAUUACUGGGCGUAAAGCGUGCGUAGGUGGUGGUUUAAGUCCGUUGUGAAAGCCCUGGGCUCAACCUGGGAAUUGCAGUGGAUACUGGAUCACUAGAGUGUGGUAGAGGAUAGUGGAAUUUCCGGUGUAGCAGUGAAAUGCGUGGAGAUCAAGAGGAACACUCGUGGCGAAAGCGAGCUACUGGACAAUAACUGACGCUGAGGCUCGAAGGCCAGGGUAGCGAAAGGGAUUAGAUACCCCUGUAGUCCCUGUCUCUUAUAC
rnacentral:rRNA from 1 species